AUUGAACGCUGGCGGCAUGCUUUACACAUGCAAGUCGAACGGUAACAGGCCUUCGGGCGCUGACGAGUGGCGAACGGGUGAGUAAUGUAUCGGAACGUGCCCAGUCGUGGGGGAUAACGCAGCGAAAGCUGUGCUAAUACCGCAUACGAUCUAUGGAUGAAAGCGGGGGACCGUAAGGCCUCGCGCGAUUGGAGCGGCCGAUGUCAGAUUAGGUAGUUGGUGGGGUAAAGGCUCACCAAGCCAACGAUCUGUAGCUGGUCUGAGAGGACGACCAGCCACACUGGAACUGGGACACGGUCCAGACUCCUACGGGAGGCAGCAGUGGGGAAUUCUGGACAAUGGGCGCAAGCCUGAUCCAGCAAUGCCGCGUGCAGGAAGAAGGCCUUCGGGUUGUAAACUGCUUUUGUACGGAACGAAACGGCGAGCUCUAAUACAGUUUGCUAAUGACGGUACCGUAAGAAUAAGCACCGGCUAACUACGUGCCAGCCGCCGCCGUAAAAC
rnacentral:rRNA from 1 species